ensembl:lncRNA CASTOR3P CASTOR family member 3, pseudogene
CACUGGCUGACCAGAACAUAUCCGUGUUCAUGCUGUCCACGUAUCAGACAGACUUCAUCCUGGUGCUCAAGCGGGACCUGCCCUUUGUCACCCACACGUUGUCAUCAGAGUUCACCAUCCUGUGGUCAGUGGCUAGACUGUAGCAGCCGAGAACCUCGGCAUCACCAGUGGCUUCGUGAAGCCCAAGCUGGGGCCUUGGUGUACCUUGUUGUAGUGUUUGAAAACAUCUGAGGCUGCAUCCAUCUCCAGCACCCCAUAAAGCAACAGCUUGCAGAACCCGGCUAGGAGGCGGCGCCGCUGGUGUAGCCGCUCUAUCUGUAAAUGAUCCUCCUGGGAAUCACCUGGCUCACAUGGAAGGCAAAAGGGAAUCACAGACUUAAGCUUCCUGCCCUAUAUUUCUGAGCUACACCCAAGCCCCAGCCCUUACUGAGCCCCAGGUAUAGAGUCACUGCACCACUGCCCAGGUCUCCCGGCUGGAUGAAGACGUGGUCCAUGAGGAAGCUGGCUAGCUCAGACUGGAGAGUAGCUUCAGGAAAAAAGACAAGUGGCCUAAG